AUUGAACGCUGGCGGCAGGCCUAACACAUGCAAGUCGAGCGCGCGGCGGACGGGUGAGUAAUGUGUGGGAAAAUGCCUGUUGGAGGGGGGUAAAUCUUGGAAACGGUAGCUAAUAUAGCAUAUCCUCAGAUGUGGCCAGAUGGGAUUAGCGGGUGGGUGGGGUAACGGCUCACCUAGACGACGAUCCCUAGCUGGUCUGAGAGGAUGACCAGCCACACUGGAACUGAGACACGGUCCAGACUCCUACGGGAGGCAGCAGUGGGGAAUAUUGCGCAAUGGGCGCAAGCCUGACGCAGCCAUGCCGCGUGAGUGAAGAAGGCCUUCGGGUUGUAAAGCACUUUCAGCAGGGAGGCGUUAACCGCAGAAGAAGCACCGGCUAACUCCGUGCCAGCAGCCGCGGUAAUUC
rnacentral:rRNA from 1 species